AGCGAACGCUGGCGGCAGGCCUAACACAUGCAAGUCGAACGGACCCUUCGGGGUUAGUGGCGGACGGGUGAGUAACACGUGGGAACGUGCCCUUUGGUUCGGAACAACUCAGGGAAACUUGAGCUAAUACCGAAUGUGCCCUUCGGGGGAAAGAUUUAUCGCCAUUGGAGCGGCCGCGUCUGACUAGCUAGUUGGUGGGGUAAUGGCCCACCAAGGCGACGAUCAGUAGCUGGUCUGAGAGGAUGAUCAGCGACAUUGGGACUGAGAACCGGCCCAAACUCCUACGGGAGGCGGCAGUGGGGAAUCUUGCGCAAUGGGCGAAAGCCUGACGCAGCCAUGCCGCGUAAAUGAUGAAGGUCUUAGGAUUGUAAAAUUCUUUCACCGGGGACGAUAAUGACGGUACCCGGAGAAGAAGCCCCGGCUAACUUCGUGCCAGCCGCCGCUGUAACAC
rnacentral:rRNA from 1 species